GCUGUGUCCCAGAGCGGUCCUUCCCGGCGCUGCCCGCAGGUGGCAGCACAGGGCCGCCGCCGUGGGAGCUCAAGGGAAGCCGCUCCGAGCCGCUGGAAUUGCUGCCUCAGUUUCCCUCGGCCCGUCCCUCCAUCACUUUGGCCAUGUCCGGGCGAUAUAAAAAGAGCUGGUUUCUUUCCCUUAGCAGGCUACAAAGUGUUGUCACCCUAAGCAGGAGUGAGGAUGGGGAGAGCGCUGCUGUCUUCUGCUGAAGCCCAGCUGGGAUAGGAUGAGGCUGCCUUGUUGUGCCUGGAAUGGGACUUUUCUCCCGCUGGGGCUGGCACAGGCUCAGCUGGUCCCUCCACGUUCGCUGGCUGUGACACUUCUUCAGCCCUGCAGUGCCUUUGCUGUGUUUGUGUUUUCCCUUUGGCUGAGUUGGCUCCAUGGAAGGGAAAUGUCUCUUUUACCAGAGAGGCCAAAGGGAUAGGAAGCAAAAAUCUUUGCUCGUGCAAGAAGCUGCAGUGUUUGUUUUCUGUCAAAGCUCCACAAAGGAUCGUGAUUACCCAACCACUGGUGAGGAAGUUUGGUGUCAGUUAAAGCAAGCCAUUUUGUUGCCAUUGGGCCUUUGUGGGUGACUUUUAAAGAAAUGAGCUUCAUAAGGAACCUGACCAUGAUGUAGCAGGGAAGAAAAUUGUCUGGCAGAGUCACCUAAAGUGGACAUUAUCCAGGAAUGAUGUUUUUACUAAAACCAUGGAUUCUGAGUCUUUAUAUGUCUCCAGAGAAAAGGCUGCAAUAUUUGAAAGGCUCUAUCAACAUCAAACAAAGAAACCCUGGCACCUGGACACUGUUCACAUCAAGGCCCUCUCACUCGAGCACGCUUGGUUUGUUUUGUAAUUUAUCCUUAAUAAGAAAAUGUUGAAAAGAUCUAAUUCUGGCUGGGCAUCAAAGGCACUGGAGCUGUACAUGGACAGCGUUGUUUAUAAUGUGACUGUGCUGUGUGGCAAUUUACAUCCCAAAUUUAUGUUGCUAUUGAGUAUGGCCUUUUUUUCUUUUGAAAACUGGUGUAUGAAUGUGUUUACAAUGGUAAUUAUUCACACAGAGUUAGAAGCAAAAAAAGAUUGAAGUGUGGUGAAAGCAACAGCGUCACAAGGAAGGUGAUGCUGUGUAGGUAAAGUCAUUUCAGAACUUCCUGACAUGUUAAGUUUAUGAAGAUGAACAUUAAUUCUCUUUUGGAAGAAGAAUCGAGGUAGAACAGAUGGGUUGGUUGCCAAGAAAAUGGUUUGAAAGGAAGUAAUGUGCACAUUGACAUUUCCUGCUUUUACAUAAUUAUUUUUUAAAUAACUUAUGUAAUUGCCUUGAGUGGAAUGACUGUGUUCAUUAGUGGGGUAUGAAGACAAGCAUUUCCAGCAUCUCAGAAGGGCUGUCUUGUGCUGUACCUCUCUUCUGUUGCAUUUAACCACCCCAGCACAUGCUUUUAUUUUGUUUUUGACAAAGCAAUAUGCCAUGACUUGAACAAAACUCGAGCAGCAUUUUUUGCUUGCCUUGUGCGCAGCCUGUUCCACCCGGAGGGGUUAAACGUGAGUGGCACUUUGUCCACCUUCCCACAGCUGCCCACUUGGGGUGGAAAAUCAUGGUCCUUACCCUCUCAGGGCACGAGUAUCAUCUCCCUCUUCCUCUGAGCACAAUUUGUUGGCUCAUCCCACUCUCCCUCCCUGAGAAUAAAAUCCCCAAAGCAGGUCUUGGAACAGAGGAUGUUGGUAGGUUGAAGGCCCAGGAAUAUUUUCCUCUCUGGCCCCUCUCAGUAUUCAUCCAUGCCCUGUGUGCUGGGUAUCUUCUCUCUGCUCCCAGAUUUUCCCUGUGACAAUCCCAGUUUCCUCCCUGAGCACACCCCCCGCCUCACCCCCAUCCCAAGCAUCCUGUAGCUCUGCAAGCAGCGUUCUGCUGCCUUGUUUUCGAGUUCCACUUGAACAUAUGCUGCGUGUGGAGAUGCUGAUGGGCGGCAGCAUCUGCUGCUCCAGCCAGAGCUGUGCUCCGCUUUGGAGGGUAAUUACUGCGAGCCGUGCCCUGUGUUUGCCCACUAUCUGCUCCUGCCAGGUCUUCGCCUUCCACAAACUGCCCAUUAUGUGGUGAUGAUAAUUAAAUCUCCCCUGCACCAGGCAGGUCUGAGCAGUGCAUGAAGAGCCCUCCUUGUCCGUGCAGCUGCCAAGGAAGAUGCAGCCCGUAAUGAUGCCGUAAUCACCUGCCGGCUCCACAAUGCCUGGCACCACCUAUUUGUUCCCAAAGAGCUCUUUCAGCAGCUGUCAGAUGUUAAUGGCUUUCAGCUGCUGAAACAACCUGCGCCCUGUGCGAACCGGGGGACACAUCAUGGAAAUGGGCAUAAAUAUUCAUGUGGGACUAACAAAACCAAAAGUGCGAGUGUGGGUAUCAGAGUUCCAGUGUGGAUGUGCUGUGAUGGGUUUAGAGUGAUGAAUGCAGCGUGAAUGUUUUGAAGUAACGUUGUUCUUUUUACACUUGUGAGAGAAAAAAAACCCACUAAAGGUAGUGGGAUUGCGGGGGCACGUGGGUAAGAGCAGGAUUUGUGCCCCUGGGUGAUGUAGGCAGUUCUGGGUUGGGCACUGCGUCUGGGUGAUGCACUGAAACUUGUUCCUGGAAGAAAGGAGCUGCUGUGUUUGCUCAUCCUGUUUGCAUCUCUCUUCUGAACCUGCUUAUGAAGAAUUGAAAGUUUCUCACCAGAUCUGUGCUAGAUGCUGAUGGGACACAGAACCCCACAGGCUGAGUUCAGUGUUCUAGUUUCUAAAAUAAUUAAUGUCAAGAAUAGCAAUGUAUCUGAUUUGGUCGAGAGCUGAUAAUUUCCCACCUUUCAGCACCCCAAAGCCUCAAAUCUUUGACAUCAGAAUAGAAGUGUUGUGAGUCAGUCUCUUUAGACAGACUUUUACAAAUUAAUUCUGUCAAUGUGUCUACACUGGAUUUUUUAAACAAUAACUUUGUUUGUAAUGUGCUUUUACUUUUUCUUCAGAUUCAGGAUAGCCCUGCUGAGAGGGGUCAAGGCUGAUGUUCUUCUUGAAACCCUUUGUUGGUACAUCAGAACCGUAAAGGUACAUCAGAAGCCAGUGACACCCAUUUAAAUAAUCAUAAAUUGGUGGUGAUAUCCUUCAUUACCUUGAACAAUUAUCCGUAUAGCCUGUAUGUGUAUAUUUUUCUGGCGAAGAAGUCUUGUGAAAAUAAAGUUAAUUCAGUGUCUCA